rnacentral:rRNA from 1 species
CANUGGGGGAACCUUGAUGCAGCGACGCCGCGUGAAGGAAGAAGUAUCUCGGUAUGUAAACUUCUAUCAGCAGGGGAAGAUAGUGACGGUACCUGACUAAGAAGCCCCGGCUAACUACGUGCCAGCAGCCGCGGUAAUACGGAGGAUCCGAGCGUUAUCCGGAUUUAUUGGGUUUAAAGGGAGCGUAGGCGGACGCUUAAGUCAGUUGUGAAAGUUUGCGGCUCAACCGUAAAAUUGCAGUUGAUACUGGGUGUCUUGAGUACAGUAGAGGCAGGCGGAAUUCGUGGUGUAGCGGUGAAAUGCUUAGAUAUCACGAAGAACUCCGAUUGCGAAGGCAGCCUGCUGGACUGUAACUGACGCUGAUGCUCGAAAGUGUGGGUAUCAAACAGGAUUAGAUCCCCUGGUAGUCCAAGGGCGAAUUC